rnacentral:rRNA from 1 species
AUUGAACGCUGGCGGCAUGCUUUACACAUGCAAGUCGAACGGCAGCACGGACUUCGGUCUGGUGGCGAGUGGCGAACGGGUGAGUAAUACAUCGGGACGUACCGAGUAAUGGGGGAUAACUAUCCGAAAGGAUAGCUAAUACCGCAUACGCCCUACGGGGGAAAGAGGGGGAUCGCAAGACCUCUUGUUAUUGGAGCGGCCGAUGGCUGAUUAGCUAGUUGGUAGGGUAAAGGCCUACCAAGGCAACGAUCAGUAGCGGGUCUUAGAGGACGAUCCGCCACACUGGAACUGAGACACGGUCCAGACUCCUACGGGAGGCAGCAGUGGGGAAUCUUGGACAAUGGGCGCAAGCCUGAUCCAGCAAUGCCGCGUGCGUGAAGAAGGCCUUCGGGUUGUAAAGCGCUUUUGUCAGGGAGCAAAUCCUUGUGGCUAAUACCCACCGGGGAUGAGAGUACCUGAAGAAUAAGGACCGGCUAACUACGUGCCAGCAGCCGCAGUAAUAC